UUUCUGCACCAUUCUCCCAUGCAGCUCCUUAAUUAUUUGAGCAGACCCUUGAAACAAUCUCUUUACAUCGUCCUUAGUGACACAGAAGGAGGCUUCUGACACACAUGCAUACAAAGCUGUGGAUGUAAGACUUUAUAUGGAAAAUUUUUAUUCCUGUAGAGAAAGGGAACAGACUACACAGAUAAAAGAGCUAUUAUAUUCCCACAUUAGAAGGACCUCUUGCCUGGUGGAUUUCUAAGCCAAGCUAAUUAAAACAUCAUAAAAAAGGCACACCAACCAAACUCUUAUAUUUGUAUGAUUGUGUCCAGAAUAAAGAUUUGCACCAAGUCAACCAUAUCUGUUUCGAAACUGCGUGCAGAGCAGCUUUCCUUGUGAAGCAUUGAGCCCGUCUAAUAUGUAACAAUUGACAAAUAUAUUAUAAUGUUCUUCCUGUCUCUUGACUUGAUAACAUCUAAAUGAAUCCUAACACAGACACAGAUCUUUACUUCAAUCCCAACCAUGCCCUACUGCUCCCAUCACAGCUCAAUUGCACAGGGUGCUCACAGUGGUGGUUUAGUCAUACUCAGCAGAAAAACCACCAAUGAUGACCAACAUAAAAGGCAAAGUAUUCUGAGAUGGAGACGUUUGCCCUGGAAAAUAAGGAAGCCCUUAGCUGAUCCAGAAACUCAAGAAUUCCACAGUUGCGUGCCUAAUGCUACAGCCACUGAUCUCACAGAGCAGUGCCCCCACUGAAGCAACGCAUUUUUCUGGAUCCUCUAAGAAAUACCUCACUUAUCAAUGGUGAAACAAGGAAAAGGAUUUGCUUCUCUCUGGUCCACCAGGUUGCAUCCCAUAGUUUUGCAGUCAAGACUGCUGCAGUCAAAGGCAUCGCUCUGCUGACAGCAAGCCCUGUUGGGUUCAUCUUUGCACCUUGUGGAGACCAGGUGUUUAGCUGCUGAAAUCUCUUUGGAGAAAAGCAACUCACCGCCAUCUCUUUCACAAAUUAGAAACCUGAAGAUGGAUUGUGGUUUCUUACUUAGACAAUUUUGGAUGAAUCUAGAAAGGAGAGGCGGAUUAGCUGGAUGUCUAAAUAAAAUCAAUGAGAU
rnacentral:lncRNA from 1 species